ensembl:lncRNA
UUUUUAUUGACUUCAAGCACAGGAAGAGAGAAAGUAUAGAGAAAGUAGAAACUAGGUCGGACUGCUAAGAAGGAGAAUAAAGACGUUGCAAGAGCUCUCAGACCAAAUCAAAAAGGCCAGCAUAAAAUGAAAGAAGAAAUGCAGAGUUCUGAAGAACCACAGCUGAUCCCGUGACUUUUUUCACUCUCUGCUAUAUUUGAGCAAAUCAAAUCCUAGUAAAGAAGCGGUCAAAUUCAUUUGCAAGUGAGGUGCAUAUCCAAGCAUGUACUGAAGAAGUCCACAGAAGAGUAUGAGCAGGAAGGACAAGAAAAUAGCCUCCAUAUGGCCCACCAGACAAGAAGUCCACUGAGCUGAUUUCAUAGGAUUAUAGAAUGGCUUGGCUUGGAAGGGACCUCAGGGAUCAUCAUGUUCCAACGCCACUGCCACAGAUAUUGCUGGGCUUCAUCUUUUUCUGCAAACAGCACUGACAUUCCAGCAAGAGCUGCUCUCACGGCCAACUGACAGGCAGACUAGAAACUGGGGAAUGAAGAAAGCAAAAAAAUUCACAAAUUAACAGAGUAACUGGUGGCUUUGAUGUCUCCUGCAGCCUUCAAAUUAAGACUAGAUGCCUCUCUGGAAGGCAGACUUUAGUCAGACACUAAUUAUUGGAAUAUACAGAAGAGCAACCAGAUGGAACAGAAUGACUUUUGUUCUGCUAGAGGGUCAGGUGGUCCCUGCUGACCUGAAGAUCUAUGACUAUUUAACAAGAAGACAUAAAGAGACAGCCAAGCCAUGUGCUGUUGUCAACACUUUGCUAAAGUGGUAUAAUUAUGGAGAACAGGAACUCUUCUUGCUCUCCCAAACCUAAAUCUUACUAUUGCUUUGGCAAAGAACAUUCAUAACAGUUUCUGUUCAUUUAAAUUGGUUAAGUUUAAUCAUGAACACAAUGAUUUUGUGGCUGCAAUAGUGACAGUUUUUGUCCAUACUCCUGAAGUUCCUGGAUAUUCUGAGUUACUGACUCAAGUGGGAUUUGGAUAAGACCUGGUGACUUUCUGCUUCCAUUAUCAUGGUGUAAAAUGAGAUUGAUCCAUCUCUUAUUGUACUGGUCAUGUGUGAACAUUGAUGAAGCUCCUCAAAUACAACAGAUCUGGCAUGUCACCUAGCAGAAUAUGACCUGGAGGAUGCUGCCCUCUGAGGAUGUUCCAAAAGAGCUGGAAGAAGGCAAUGCGUUGGUUGCAGGAAGUCUGAGUGGCAAGGCUCUGGAACAUGCUGCCCAGAAAGGUGGUGGUUGUCCUAUCCUUGGAGACAUUCAAGGUCAGGCUGGAUGGGGCUCUGAGCACCUGAUGGAGCUGUAGGUGUUCCUGUUCAUCACAGGGGAGUUGAAUCAGAUGAGCUUUCAAGGUCCCUUAUAACACAAACGAUUGUAUGACAAUUAUAUGUGGUAUAGCACAUAACAGUGGUUGUCUUCAUCUCUGUUCUUUAUCAGUGAGUAAAUAAAAGGGAAGUCAGAUGCCAGGUCUAACAUUUCUGCUUCCACUCUGUGUUGCUCUUUUCUCAGCAUCUCCAGUUUGAAGUGUUAAGAAUGCAAUAUCUGCAACAAAUUAAUUAGUAAAAUCGUCAAAUGAAGUUAAGAAACUUAAAUUAUUAAUUCUUGAUCUGAAGAUCACAGGGACAGUACCUGUAUUUUCUGCCAUUUCAUCUUUAUACUGCAAGAGGAAAAAAGCAAGAUAGACAUGCUGAAUGGUGAUGAGACGAAGUGUUGAAGUAUUUCUAUUUGGAGACAUGAAUUCAAACAUAUGGAAGGAACUGAGACCCUCUGACCUACACAAAGCCUCCAGACAGUCAAAAGCAUUCCCUUGGUUGCGUGCUGCAAGUGUCUUGUAAAAAUAAGGCUGCACUUAGAGCUGCUGAGCACCACAAACUUCUGAACAUUAAGCUCAGUGGAAAUUAAGACAAAACAUCCCACAUCUCUGUGCUAAAAAGGAGAUGAGCUGCCAAACAGAUUCUGUUGCCAGCUGCUGCCUACUUUGCUCCUUUUAGGAUCUGUCACCUGCUUUGAAAUUCUUGGUGACUAAUGUAGGCCAUCCCCAAUCCUCAGGCAGAAGUCACUGCUACUCAAUUAAUAUUAAAUACUUUUGGCUUAUUAACAUAAUAAUUCUGUUUUUGCCUAAUUGCAAUCUUUAAGGGAUUAUAUAUAGUUUUUUCCUCUCUGUUUGGAAGUCCUAAGAGCUCUGAAGUUAUUGAUCAAAUCUUCCCCACAAAUCCUAAUGGAACCACAAGAGCAUGUGAUAUAGCUCUGAUCAGUCUCUGUGUUGCUAGUGAAUGCACUUCAAGCAAAUGAGAUUUGUUUCAGCUCCAUGUUGCUCAUACAGAUGCUUUGAAGACAUAUGAAAUGAGUACUCCAGAUAAUUUUGGCACUAUUAGAGAUAAGAGUCUUAUCAGGACCUGAGGUACCAACCUAAUUUUUUUUUCAUGAAAGCUGCCAGAGUAAACCCAUGACUCUUCUGAAUCAGCACAUCACGUUUGUUGUGCUCUGCAGAAAGGAGAGAACAGCAAAAGAUAAUGGACCGUGAUAGCACUACAGCUCUGGGAAAUGGGGCAAUGGAAAUAGCAGCAAAUGGUGAUCAAAAUGUCUGUGUUAAAGCUCAGCCCUGGAACAGACUGGAUACAUCUCCUGUUCAGCUUCUUCCUCUGAAAAAUAAGACACUGUUUACUUCAGGCAUUUCUCAUUAAGCUCAGAAAAACAGUACAUUUUUUCUGAUUCUGGAAGGGUAAGAUUGGAAAUGGUGGCCUGAUAUCUGUUAGCAAAUAAAGAAAAGAGGAAACGGACAGUUUUGCAGAUAGUCCUUCUAAGUCUCUGCAAGAGUACUGCUGGAGUAGCAGAUGCUCAAAGGGAGCCUUUACAUACGUGUUACCCAUUUAACAGUGAUAAGAUGAAGCCCUCUGCAGACCGAGUAUGGGAGAUACAAGGAAUAAAGCUUGCCUACAGGUGGUUGACAAAUAAACCAAGUCUUUUAUGCCUAAAGACUGGAUAUUGACAUUUGGCAAACACAAAUCCUAGUGUGGUGGCAAUUCACAAUCCUCUUGAGGCUUUCCAAGGUCUCAGCACACGUGCUAAGAGCUUGCAUUGCCUAUGAACGUUUUCAUCAACCAUCAAUGGCUCAAGUCUUUAUAUUUCACACUACUAUAUCUCUAGGUUGCUAUGCAGCCAAAAAUCCUUGAUGAUUAGCAGAUAUUUGGACAUUCUGGUAAUGAAACCAUGUUAGUUGCCAGAGAAAGUGUCAGUAAUUGAUUGGUGUGAUGCACUAUGGAUUGGAUGAUAGUUUAUUCUUAGGAAAAAGGUUUUCAUCCAUUUUUUUCCCCAGUGUUUUACAUUUGUUCUCAAAACAUGGAAAUCCUAAGGACAAUUUUAGAAAUAAAAAAUUCAUGGCAUGAGGCCAUUUGAUGCUGCCAUUAAGGCACUUCACUGCUGUAUUCCUGGGCUGUCAAGGGAGGAUGGGUGUUGUGUAAAUUAGCAGCAAUCUGCACAUUGCACAGCUGCACAGAAGGACCAAGAGUGAGCUUAACUGAGGGGCAAAAGGGUAGAGCUGGCCAGCAAGAACUGCCUUAUGUAACAGAAAUUAUAAAAAGCCAUUCAGUGUACAAUCGAAAGUGAGAGAAACCUCUGGAUAUGAUGCGUUUAAAAUUCUGGGCUAUUUUGAUACUGGAUCCAAGUCACUCGGAGAGCCCAGUGGUGAUGAAUACACCUCACAACAUGCCUGUUAUUUGCUUUCUGUGUUUACUCCUUCUUUUAGAAGGGUAUCACUCUUUGCUUUUCUGGUCAACAUCAUUUUGGCUGUGUGUUGAUAUACAAUCUCAGACUGCCUGUGAAGAUAGCUUUUCAGCAAUCCCUGCAUUGUGCAAGAAUAGAUUAAGAAAAGUGAAGGGCGAGGUUAAUCAUACUGCUGUGGUUGUGCAGGUGUGCUCAGCACUUUCCUCAAACUUCUGUUGUUAAAGGGUUCCAAGGCAUGUGGUUAAAAAAUGGGCUGCUAACUCUGUAUUCAAACACCUAUAUGUUAAUGGCCUGGCCUGUGAGAAGCAAGGAACAUCCACAUAAAGCCCCAAUGCUCCUCCACACACAUUUGGAGCAUUAUUAUAAAAGGACUCCAAUAUUAAUCCCAUAAACUCCAGAUGGAAGGCUUUAGUAAUGCUAGAAGACUAAGCUCAGUGACUUCUUUGUGAGCUACAUGUACUUAUCAUAGGUGAGCUAGUACGUGGGCCAAGAAGACGUCAGUGAAUGAUUCAUACUUUGAAUCAUUGGAUGGAGAAUGUAGCUGAAAUUAUUCCAAUUUCUUGCUCUGUGUCUCCUUGCAGUAAAGUCUGGUUGAUUAUUGCUUGUUGGUUCUCCUUACUGUCAUUAUUAUUCUCUCUAAACUUCUGCAGCAGCUGCAGUGUUCAUUCUUUCUCUGGAUGUCUAAAGGAGGGGAGAUCAGAGAAUACCAGUAGGUAAAUAACUGUUUUAUUUUGUCAUGUUUUGAUUUGUUUUCUGUCAGUGCUGGAGCAUCUCCUUGAGGAAUGAACAGCUCUGAGCCAUAUCUUGUCCUGGUUCAGGGACGCUGGGUGCUCAGAGCACUGGCUCUUCUGUGGCACAGUGCGUGAAGGGUGAACUGUAUCAAAAAAAGGGCACAAGGAAAAACACAUGCAUCUAAGUUUUUAUCAUUUAUUGGAAACAAGUGUAAACCCCGCUAGCGGCGCUGGGGG